AAGAUUGAGCAGACAGGACUACCCCACAUAAAUUGCCAGAUAUAAAGUCUUCUUCUGUUCCGACAAACGUAACAGCUUAGCCUAAUGGCACACCCGGGGUAGACGAGUACCAGAAGGACACACCAGCCCAACUACCAUGAACCGGGGGCAGACCUUGUUCUUAACACUCCAGAUAAUUCCUCCUGCUGUGCACAACCUAGCCCAAGCCAACCCCAUCUCUGAUUUCACAACUACGCUUGCCUGCUCUACGGCUCCCGGCAACUAUUGAUCUAUCACCAUGGCUCAUAACUUUGCCAAUCUUGCACCAUGGCUCCCAUCCAUGCCAAUUUUGCCAUGUGGCUCGUGCCAACCAAGCCUCAAAAAGGCACACGACGAAACACCUAAUGAUGGCAUAAUAAUUCUAAGAGCAGCUCACUACGCUUACACCCUUACGCGAGGUCCAUAAGCAGUUUAAAGUCUCAAGCAGAUCGCUAAACAUGACCUCGCAUGCUAAGGAUUAUUUUGAUUGUCCCAGCAGUCCAGUUUUCCUCAAUUGCACUCACGACAACGACUUCCAUGUUCUCCAGUGCAAGAGGGUAAACCAAUUCCCCGACACCCAUAUGGGUUUGCUCUCCAGUGCGAGAGGGUAAACUAAUUCCCCGACCCCUAUAUGGGUCAGCUCUCCAGUGUGAGAGGAUAAACUAAUUACUCUCCAGUGCGAGGGGGUAAACCAAUUUCCCGACACCCAUAUGGGUUUGCUUUCUAGUGUAAAAGGAUAAACUAAUUGCUCUCCAGUGCGAGAUGGUAAACCAAUUUCCCGACACCCAUAUGGGUCUGCUCUCCAGUGCGAGAGGAUAAACUAAUUGCUCUCUAAUGCAAGAGGGUAAACCAAUUCCCCGACACCCUUAUGGGUCUACUCUCCAGUGCGAGAGGAUAAACUAAUUGUUCUCCAGUACGAGAGGGUAAACUAAUUGCUCUCAAGCGCGAGAGUGUAAACUAAUUGCUUACCAGCGCGAGAGGGUAAACUAAUUGCUCUCCAGUGCGAUAGGGUAAACUAAUUCCUCGACACCCAUCUGGGUAAGCUCUCCAAUGCGAGAAAGCCAUAUAGCUUAAAAAAUCGAAUGAUUGAAGAUCAACUAGGCAGCAAAUGGUCAGGGGGCAGCAACCACUUUUGCAUUUAACAAUUCACUCAUCCGACACUUCAUCUUUAGCAGCUCCGAUCUUGGUAGCUUCCUU
rnacentral:lncRNA from 1 species